rnacentral:rRNA from 1 species
UAUUUUUAAAGGGCCGCGGUAUACUGACCGUGCGAAGGUAGCAUAAUCAUUAGUCUUUUAAUUGAAGGCUUGUAUGAAUGGUUGGACAAAAAGUAAUCUGUCUCAAUUGUAAUAGUUGAACUUAACUUUUAAGUGAAAAGGCUUAAAUACUUUAAGGGGACGAUAAGACCCUAUAAAACUUGACAAUAAAUUAGUUAAAUUAUAAAUUGUUAGUAUAACUUGAUCUUAAUUAAUGUUUGUUGCGUUGGGGCGACGGGAAUAUAAUUAGUAACUGUUCUUAAAUACUUAUUAACAAGUAUAAUUGAAAAAUAAUUGAUCCUUUAUUAAAGAUUAAAAGAUUAAGUUACUUUAGGGAUAACAGCGUAAUCUUCUUUGAGAGUCCUCAUCGACAAGAAGGUUUGCGACCUCGAUGUUGAAUUAAGGUAUCCUUAUAAUGCAG